rnacentral:rRNA from 1 species
CCUACGGGAGGCUGCAGUGAGGAAUAUUGGUCAAUGGCCGGAAGGCUGAACCAGCCAUGCCGCGUGAAGGUCAGUGCCCUAUGGGCGUUAAACUUCUUUUGUGCGGGAGCAAUAAUGGUCACGUGUGGCCAGACGAGAGUACCGUACGAAUAAGCAUCGGCUAACUCCGUGCCAGCAGCCGCGGUAAUACGGGGGAUGCAAGCGUUAUACUGAUUUAGUGGGGUUAAAGGGUGCGUAAGCUGGGAGGUAAGUCAGAGGGUGAAUGCCCCGGCUCAACGGGGUGAAGUGCCAUUGAUACUGGCUUGCUGGAAUGCGGAUGGGGUGGGAGGAAUGUGUGGUGUAGCGGUGAAAUGCAUAGAUAUCACACAGAACACCGAUUGCGAAGGCAUCUCACGAAUCCGCGAUUGACGCUGAUGCACGAAAGCGUGGGUAUCAAACAGGAUUAGAUACCCGUGUAGUC